rnacentral:misc_RNA from 1 species
AAGUCGUAACAAGGUCUCCGUAGGUGAACCUGCGGAGGGAUCAUUACACAAUAACCAGGCGGGCUGGACACCCCCCGCUGGGCACUGCUUCACGGCGUGCGCGGCGGGGCCGGCCCUGCUGAAUUAUUCACCCGUGUCUUUUGCGUACUUCUUGUUUCCUGGGUGGGCUCGCCCGCCCUCAGGACCAACCACAAACCUUUUGCAAUAGCAAUCAGCGUCAGUAAUAACGUAAUUAAUUACAACUUUCAACAACGGAUCUCUUGGUUCUG